rnacentral:rRNA from 1 species
GACGAACGCUGGCGGCGUGCUUAACACAUGCAAGUCGAACGGAAAGGCCCUGCUUUUGUGGGGUGCUCGAGUGGCGAACGGGUGAGUAACAAGUGAGUAACCUGCCCUUGACUUUGGGAUAACUUCAGGAAACUGGGGCUAAUACCGGAUAGGAGCUCCUGCUGCAUGGUGGGGGUUGGAAAGUUUCGGCGGUUGGGGAUGGACUCGCGGCUUAUCAGCUUGUUGGUGGGGUAGUGGCUUACCAAGGCUUUGACGGGUAGCCGGCCUGAGAGGGUGACCGGCCACAUUGGGACUGAGAUACGGCCCAGACUCCUACGGGAGGCAGCAGUGGGGAAUAUUGCACAAUGGGCGGAAGCCUGAUGCAGCAACGCCGCGUGCGGGAUGACGGCCUUCGGGUUGUAAACCGCUUUCGCCUGUGGCGAAGCGUGAGUGACGGUAAUGGGUAAAGAAGCACCGGCUAACUACGUG